CUGGGAGCUGCUUGCUGUCUCUUCUCAUUGGCAUUCCCUUUAGCUGGGUUGUCUUUCUUUCUCUGCUUCCUCCACGUCUUGUUUCUCCUCCUCUAGGUCUCUGGUGGUGAUCUCGGAGCAAGUGGCCACAGAGGCCUCUGGCUUGGUGAGGCAAGCAGGUGUUCUCCUGCUGCGGGUUAGAUAGAAGGUUUGGUUUGGGGGACUGCGCCUUAAAGCGGCUGGGGUCCGCGGGUGGUGGAGUUGUCCAGCAUCUGGUUGUAGUGGCGG
rnacentral:lncRNA from 1 species